ensembl:misc_RNA Metazoa_SRP Metazoan signal recognition particle RNA
GCUGGGUGUGUUGGCACCUGCCUGUAUCCCUAGUUACUUGGGAGGCUGAGGCAGGAGAAUUGCUUGAGCCCAGGAGUUCAGGGCUGCAGUGAGCUAUGAUCUUUCCACUGCACUCCAGCCUGGGUGACAAAGUAAGACCCUGUCUCUU